GUUAAACACCUAGACAGCUCCGGAAACAUCCCUGUCUCUAUGAAACCUGGACACUGAAGGUUUUAUAUUUGCAGUCAGAUGGCAGCUGAGACUGGAGUCAUCUGAAGACUUGACUGAGCUGGAUGUCCAAGAUGUCAUUCACAAGCCUGGCAGCUGCUGCUGGCUAUUGGGUUGGAGCUUAGCCAGAGCUGUCAACUGAAGCUCCUCUAUGUGGCCUCUGCAUGUGGGUUCUUAGAGAGAGUGCUCCAAUAAUUGAGCCUCGGGAUGGAAUAACUGUGAGAUGUGUUUGUUGCAUUCACAUAUACAGUUCUCAAACAGUAGCUGCCACUUCUAGCUGGGAGAGAAAUGAGAGCUCUGCUCAUGGUGAUCCAGUAUCUCCAGAAUCCAUCACCACUGCUGACCUCCCACUCCAUGUCUCCAAGUGCUCUGCUAUACCUGCCACCAGCAGCUGCCACCUCCAGACUUUGGAAGGUUAUAAUAAAACCUCUGUUCUACGAUCUGCCUUCUGCUUCAACAUCCUCACUCCCCACAAACAAUUCUAAUAAACAGCAAUUAAUCUGAAA
rnacentral:lncRNA from 1 species